ACAUGUAAAACCUGUAGGACACCGGCACUCGAGGCCUGGAGUUGGAGACCCCUGGAAUAGAUUUUUCAAGGCAGGACAUUUUGUUUUCCUACAAUGAGCAUGGUUUCCAGAUACAAAUAUAGCUGAUCGUGAAGUUCAGCUCUCUUUCUCUCUCAGUCUGAUGGUCAUGAUGUUUAGACUGAACCAAGCAGCACUUCUCAUUCCGCUAUUAGUGAUGUGGCAUGUCUUUGCAGGAAUCACUAAAGACGACCGCAGAGCUUUGCUGGUGUCCAGAGGAGACUCAGUGACACUGACUUGCAAUAUAAGACAUAAUAAUGUGACCCUAGUCUCCUGGACCAACAGAAGAUGUGUUUUUCAACAUUCCAAUGUGCUGAAUCGCACCCAUUCAAAUUUCUCUUUUCAUAGACUGAAAAUAAAUCAUGAGUUUCCUACAAAGCUAAUUAUUUUUAGUGCUCAGCCUGAAGAUGAAGGACUUUAUACAUGUAGCAUAACAGACAGAAGUGGCAUAUACAGCAUUACAUGGAGUUUAACUGUGUCUGAGCACCCCAAAGAUUCCGCUUCAUCAAAGUAUUUUCUAUACAUACUCCCAUCUGCAAUUGGAAUCCUCCUGUGUCAUCACACUAGCUGUCUUU